UGUUUAGUAUAAGUAUGUCCCAUGCAAUAUCUGGGACAUACUUAUACUAAAA
rnacentral:pre_miRNA from 1 species